UAACGACUCUCGGCAACGGAUAUCUCGGCUCUCGCAUCGAUGAAGAACGUAGCGAAAUGCGAUACUUGGUGUGAAUUGCAGAAUCCCGUGAACCAUCGAGUCUUUGAACGCAAGUUGCGCCCUAAGCCGUCAGGCCGAGGGCACGUCUGCCUGG
rnacentral:rRNA from 1 species